GCCAAAAAUAACACCUUUUCACUUUCAGCUUUCUGGCUGUUUGUGACACCGUUUCAAGCCGUAGGAAGUUUAUCCUAGAUUAUUGUUGAACAGGAGGAGACUCCGAUACUCCCCCUCCUGCCUGAAGGUCCGUUGCUGUGUCCUUCUUUGAUGGAAAAAGGAGAAAAUGCACCGAUUCAGACUUUGAACCGUGUGUUGGCAGAGGGAGCAGUGCCACUGCCCUGCUAAAAGGGCACAAUCAUCCUGUGGGAGUCUAAUUACCGCCGAGGUCUCGAGCUGAGUGGGUUGCGUUAUCCACCUUCCUGGGACACCUAGGAGGGACAGAAACGUCAUGUUCCGGGAUGUGAAGCAGCCCCUGGUGACUCAGACCAGGAGGAACCCUUCAGACAGGCAGAACCCCGGUGAGUCUCCGCGGCAGCGGAUCCAGUGCCCUCCUUUGAGGUGUUUGGAUUGUGUCAAGGCUGGGUUAGGCAGAGCUGGGCUUGAGCCACCACCAUCCACCCACCCGCUCCUCCUCGCCGUCCUUAUGGCAACAGUGGGCUGACAAUAAUAAACCCCAAUUAAGCCUGUUGUUAAAUAUGACUCUGAGCAGCCCCGAAGGGAGUAAAUUAACACACAGCAGUCUAUUUCUGGGUGUAAUCCAAGCCUUGGAAACCCGAGAAGAAAAGAUUUAGAACGUGAUAGAGAUUGGGCCAAAGUUCAUUUUCCACUGGCUGUCUUAACUUCCAGCCCCAACCUCCUCCUUGGUUUGGUUUCCACUUGAUUAUCCUCAGUGCCUCCGGGGGUAGAGAGCACAACGAGUAAUCCCCUGAACGUUCGCUGGCAGGCAGCACAACUGAUAUUCAGCAGUGAGGGUGGAAGAUUGCUCCUGGAGUCUGGGGCACAGCAGGAUCUGCACCGACGUGUGGGAUCUGGGGAGCGAAUCCACGGGCUGGGCUGUGUUGUGAGGUGAGCAGUGCCUCCAAGCCCACUGUAAUCCUGCUCCAGAAAACAUGUUUGCAACAGAGCCUGAGGCUCUGCUCCAAGCCUGCUCCCGUCUUCCUACUCGUGGUGGUUCUCCUCUCCUAAUCCCUUUUUAAUAUGCGGUGCUACAUAUUUUGCAACCCCAUUGUUUGGGCAUGACUCUAACAUGGCCUCCGCUUGCCAGCUGUCAGCUGUCGGGGCCGGGCUGCCAGGGGAUGCCGACGAGCAUCCUCAGCACCCCUGGGCCUCCCCCAAAACCGAAUUUCCCAAGUAUAAAGAUCAGGAAGGAUGAGACAUGGAUUUGCAGGCUCGCAGCCCAUGCCCCAGAUAUCGCCCACUGUUGGGACAGAACUUUUUCACAAGUUUGUUAAUAAUUCUGUUUCCUGAUCGCCCUGAAAUGAAAGGUUAUGUGCUCUGAAUAGCCAUGGGAAGGAGAAAGAAUAGCAAAAGGAGUGCUGGACCAGUGCACGCUGUAAAAAAUGAUGGAAAAGAAGUCACUCAGCAGGUGAGUGGCAUCUGGGCUGCGACGUGGUGCUGGUGAGUAAUGGGUGCGGGUUUGGGUGUGGAGGCACGGGGUGCGGGUGCCCCCUGCGGGACACAGGGUGCCUCUGGCAGCCCGUGGCAAUGGCCCAAGCUGUGGGUAGCAGCUCGGAGCAGGGGUGUGGGACCUCCUGGGUGGGUUUGGGUUUCAUCCUGGCGUGGGAAGCCCCCUGAGGAGCCUGUGCUGGCAGCGGUGCAGCACGGAGCUGUAUCCUGGCCUCGCUGUGCUCAUCUUUCAGAAGUUUAGGUAGUUUUUUUUAGGCAGGCAUCAAUGUUUAAAUUGUUCAAACAAUCCCUUGAAGCUGUUGUUUCAGGAUCUUCUGAGCUCUCCCUCCUUGAAGUGAGCACGAGGAGCAGAAAUGUGCCCAGAAGGGCAAGUCUGACCUUUAGGGAAGAGCAUUGAGGCACUCGCCAGCAUUUCCUGUGCUGUGAUGAAAACAUCCAGAGACUGCAGGAACUCUGAGGAGUGUGCAGGGACGUCGUGGCAUGCUGCUGCACCACAGUGCCUGCUGCUGUUCUCAGCCUUCUUCCCGAACUGCUCUGGGUCACAUUCGGUGCUGCUGGCACGCCUCGUCGCCGGUCUUGAUUUAGAAAACUAAAGAUAGCACCCAAGUGUGGCCGUUGCUAUCCUAACCUGAGAAAUACAGUCCCAAAUAAAAGCAAAUGUGAAAAGAACUUAGCAUGACAUUAGCAAUAUAGGUCCCUGCGGGAGAUAAAGGUGAGUUUUCUGUGCUGAAUUCCACCUCGGUGUUGGUCCUUGCAGCUUCCCAUCUAGGGAGUCCUGUUUAACAGCCUUCAGCUUUCACACCUCGUAGCACUCAGGCAAAUUAAUAAUAUUGAUCCUUAAUUUGCAUCAUGAAACUCCAUUUUCAACCUGAUUAAAGCAAUUUGCAAGGCAGUCUCCUGCCUCAGCAGGCUUGUAGCAGAGAUUGUCUGCUAGGUCCCCGUGACUUUGUUGUUUUUCUGGACAGAAAACAUGCCGCUGCCACUGCAGGGCAGGACUUCAAGUUUUUUUUCUUCCUCUGGGAAAAGAAAAUGACUGGGGAUGCUGCUAAGUUGGGUGCCUGUUUCUUGCCUGAUUUAGAUGCUCUCUGACGGCCAGUACAGGAAAUUCCCUGGUAUUAUUCUCAGAUCUGCUUCUCUUUCAUCACUGUUCUUCUGUGGCUACUCUACAGCCCAGACCCAAGAUAUUUUUGCCUACCUAGGAACCAUCAUCACCAGUGGGAUUUCUCGGAAGUGCUCUGCUGGAAAUCCGAGUGCUGAUUUGAUCGUGUGAAGACCUGCCAAAAAACACGAGCAGUUUGAACUUCCCUGCUGUGGAGUCAUCCCCCGUUCCUUGGGCGAGGAAUCCGCAAAGCCCCAGCUGCUCCAUCUUGCUGGUUGACGGGGAGCCGCUCGCUGCCAGUCUUCAGGAGGAAACCGCACUCCUCAGGGGCUGAAACCACCACGGACGGUGUUGUAAGGCAAAAGCCACAGCCCCCAUGUACCAAGCCUUGCGGUGUGCCAGGGCUGCAGCUCUCUGCACGCAGAAGCACGGAGCGGAGCUGGAGGAGUCCCGCAGGGGAUCCCUGGACGCAGCGAGAUCAAAGGUUCAACAGCUGACGGCCGCCCUGAAGACUGCAGCCUGAUGCUCUAAGCUCAGAGCUGGUAUCCCCGACAGGAAAUGCCGGAGCUGGGAAGCAGAUGUGUGUGUGAGAUACUGCCGAAAAGUUAAACAGGAAUUGAUGAGCCCCGCUGCCGGACAGGGCCGCUCUUGGGGCUUUGUGCAGAGUAAGUUAUUGUGCUGGUUAUUCCUUGUCAUUUCGCCUCCCUGGAAAAAGGAAGCCACGAAGAUCUGAGUGGUGGAACCCCCAAAGUGUUAUUUAUAUAAAGCCUCUCGGGUCCGUGUCCCGUUGGCACUGUUCUGCCAUAGCCCACGGCACAGCAGCGCUGUGCACGACACCUGUGGGUGCUGGGGUGCCUGUAACGACACGUAACCAUGCUGCAAUGCCAGUAAUGACACCUAACGGUGCUGGGGUGCCCGUAAUGACACCUGAGGGUGCGGGGAUGUCCCUAAGAACACCUCACGGUGCUGGGGUGCCUGUAACAACACCUAACCGUGCUGGGUGACCCUUAACCCCCUGGGGUCAGGACUGGGUGCCGGGGGGCAGCCAGGACAAGCCCCAGGCAGCAGAGCCACACCUGAACCCCUCAUUGUUGUGCCGGGGCAGGCAGCCACCCCGCACCUUCCUCCUCCUCUCCGGCUUCGGCUCCGUUUGCAGCUCCCUGGCUUUGCUUUGCUAUCUCCGGGGGGCUCUGCUCCAGCAGCACACGGCGCUGGGGGCUGGGGCAGGGCUGGCCGGCCACAUGCGGGGCCUUUUGGGUUGCCCAAAGGCCGCAGAACCCCCAAAGACCCCAAAAACCCCAAACCCCCCGAAAAACCCCAAAUCCCCCCCAGCCCUCCCCGCUCCUCCCGCCAGGGGGCGCCGCUGAGCCUCCGUGCGCCCCCCCCCUUCUCCAUGACGCUCCUCUCCCCUCCCCUUCCCAUUGGCCAACCUCCCCUUUGCCCCUCCCCUCCCUCCCCAUCCGCGCCCUCUCAUUGGCCAGGAGGGGCGGAGCGACAGCACCUCGGCCCCGCCCCCCUUCCUCCACCUCCUCCUCCCGGC